rnacentral:rRNA from 1 species
AGUGAACGCUGGCGGUAGGCCUAACACAUGCAAGUCGAACGGCAGCACAGUAAGAGCUUGCUCUUACGGGUGGCGAGUGGCGGACGGGUGAGGAAUACAUCGGAAUCUACUUUUUCGUGGGUGAUAACGUAGGGAAACUUACGCUAAUACCGCAUACGACCUACGGGUGAAAGCAGUGGAUCUUCGGACCUUGCGCGAUUGAAUGAGCCGAUGUCGGAUUAGCUAGUUGGCGGGGUAAAGGCCCACCAAGGCGACGAUCCGUAGCUGACCUGAGAGGAUGAUCGGGCAAACGGGAACUUAGACACGGGCCAGACUCAGACGGGAGACAGCAGUAGGGAAGCGGCGGAAAGGGGCGACAGCCUGACGGAGCAAUGCCGCGUGAGUGAUGAAGGUCUUCGGAUCGGAAAACUAUGCUAGGAGUAAAGAAAAAAUGUGUAAGUAAUUAUGCAGGGCUUGACGGUACCUAAACAGAAAGCCACGGCUAACUACGUG